GAGCCAGUGUGGUGUAAUGGUUUGAGUGCUGGAUUAUAGCUCUGGAGAUCAGGGUUUGAUUCCCUGCUGGACCA